GCAGUGGUGGUUCAGUGGUAGAAUUCUUGCCUUGCAGGCAGGAGACCUGGGUUCGAUUCCUGGCCAAUAUA
rfam:Loxodonta africana unplaced genomic scaffold scaffold_19, whole genome shotgun sequence.